rnacentral:sRNA from 1 species
ACGGAUGAUGCGCGCAGGAUGCGCCACGCAACUCAAGGAUGGUUCAGGGACGGUUCAGGGAUGAUCUGCCAGGAUGGCGGAUAGUCACGGAUGUCAGAAUCAGUUCUGCAAGACCCCGCUUUGCGGGGUUUU